rnacentral:rRNA from 1 species
AGUGAACGCUGGCGGCAGGCCUAACACAUGCAAGUCGAACGGCAGCACAGUAAGAGCUUGCUCUUACGGGUGGCGAGUGGCGGACGGGUGAGGAAUACAUCGGAAUCUACUUUUUCGUGGGGGAUAACGUAGGGAAACUUACGCUAAUACCGCAUACGACCAACGGGGAAAAGAAGGGGACCUUCGGACCUUGCGCGUUGAAUUAGGCCGAUGUCGGAUUAGCUAGUUGGCGGGGUAAAGGCCCACCAAGGCGACGAUCCGUAGCUGGUCUGAGAGGAUGAUCAGCCACACUGGAACUGAGACACGGUCCAGACUCCUACGGGAGGCAGCAGUGGGGAAUAUUGGACAAUGGGCGCAAGCCUGAUCCAGCCAUACCGCGUGGGUGAAGAAGGCCUUCGGGUUGUAAAGCCCUUUUGUUGGGAAAGAAAAGCAGCAGGUUAAUACCCCGCUGUUCUGACGGUACCCAAAGAAUAAGCACCGGCUAACUUCGUG